AUUAUUUCCAUCGUUUCGCCGCUACGCGACGCUAGCAUUUCAGUGUCUAUAAAUUGACUAAAGUCUCAUUGAAAAAGGCAACUAAUUACGAGGAUUAAUUUAUAAACUCUUAGUAGUUGGAUCUUCGUAUUUAGACUACUCACUUCCUUUUUUAUAUUUUCUUUGACGUAGGAUCUAUUUUAUUAUUCAAAUUAUUGUCUCACAUAAUGGUUAACAUGACAGUUAAAUAACUUCCAACAAGCGGAGCACGAGGAAAAAUUAAAUAUUGAAUAUGUUGAUAAUAAUAUAUUUGUAAAUAUUGAAAGGACUUUUACGUUUAAUCGCAGUUAUUAAAAAUGAUGUUGUGGAAGUACUUGGUAAAAAAGUUCAAUUUAACAAAUGAUAAGCUUUUCAAUUUCCGAACGAAAUUAGCCGCACUAUAUGCAUUCAGUGCAUGGCAGGUAAUGAUACUUGUCUUUCUAUAUUCAAUUGAGGAAAGUUUCCCUAAUAAUACGGAAAAACGAGAUAAAUUCAUAAAGAAAGCACAAGAAACGAAAGAAGUACAGGUUAUACGGAUCGAUGGAUUUCAAAUAGUUGACAAGUUAGAAGAUAAGAAAAUUGAAACAGACAGUUGAUAUGUCUACACAAUAAAGAUUUAAAAUUUAAGAAA